GCCAGGCGUGGUGGUGCACGCCUGUAAUCCCAGCUACUCAGGAGGCUGAGACACAAGAAUUGCUUGAACCCAGGGGGCAGAGGUUGCAGUGAGCCAAGAUCAUGCCACUGCACUCCAGCCUGGGCAACAGAGCGAGACUCUGUCUCAA
rnacentral:SRP_RNA from 2 species